CCUUGACACCCACAUUUACCACAUGAAAGGGACUGUGGGUUUUUCAUUCAGACCAUCAGAAGCAUUAUCAGAGCCAUUAUUUAUUCUGCCAAGUGUAUGAGGUUCUUUUCCUGGAUUUUCUUAAUUAUUAGUUAAAAACAUAGCCUUGUUUAAACUCAGAAGAACAUCAGGGACUGUAAUGCUGAGUUCUUGCUGGACCAAUAAAAGCUGGGGUGUUUGAUGCUAUAUAAAUCUUGGGUUUUUAAUCCCUCCUUGGGAGAAAGUGAGAGAAAAACGCAAUAAAACCAGAAAAGGAGAUAUUGCUAAAAGAAACUAACCGAACAGCAAAAAAUGAAAAUGAAAACAGCCUUUAAAACAUGCAGUUCCCUAAAAAGUGGUAAGUUUUCACCAGGCUUUUAUUGGUUCAGGAUCCUCCAACUUUAUUCCCCAUCUUGUGGUGGGCAGCUUGUAUCUCAGUGGUCAGUAACGGUCAUUCAGAGUGUCAGUGCUUUGUCCCUUGUCCAGAAGGAAAGGAUGCAGUUUGCCUGCUUUCACUUUGAUCUGAAAGGGUUAUGGGACAUGACACAACACUGACACGUGCCGAACAGCGUCAGUCCCAAUGUUCAGAAUCGAAGUUAGUUCAAAGAAAACAUCAGGGAGAUGAACUUUGCAUCAUAUGGGUAACUUAUUUACAGAGCUGGCCCUCUGAUUUAUUUAUUUGUUUAUUUAGCAUCUGCAGUAACUCCAUAGCAAGGCAGUGUAGAAAGCCAUCAACUCCCAGUUGGAAGGAAUAUUGACUCUGUAUCUGUAUUUCAACUAUGCUACUUUGGGUGACGCCCCCUGCCAACGCUUCAGGAACAGCAAUGGAAAAGCCAGACAGGGUGGAUGGCCCAUCAGCAAGGACAAUGAGCUGUGAAUGAGCCAUACUGCCACUGACUCAUGGAUGCCUUGAUCCUACAAAGUCAGGUGGUCUUGUCGCCUGAUACGAAACAUUACCUGGGACUUAUUGUAACUUUCCACUGGAAGGGAAGGGAGGUCAAGUUUGGGAAACAAAGGAUUACCACCUUAUGUAAAUCCUAUUUAAGGGUGGGGAAGAAGGCACACAGGACUCCUCCUCUCCAUGGCCUGUCUGCCAAGAAGAAACACUGAAAAAGGAAAACUGAAGGUAAGGGAGGAGUCCAGACUGAGACAGGGGUCCAGUCUGAAAAGGAAUAUAACUGGAACUCUGAACCACAGAAACUUUGCAAACUGCCUGCAACGAUAUCUAGGGGGAGAAAUACUAUUUGUAACCAAUGUCUUUAGUGAAACUAGCUUAGUUUGCAUGUUUGAUUUCAUUUGCUUAGUAAUCUGCUUUGUUCUGUUUGUUAUCUCUUAUAAUCGCUUAAAAUCUGCCUUUUAUAGUUAAUAAAAAUUUGUUUUGUUUAUUAUUAAA